AUUGCUCUGUCUACACAAG
rnacentral:piRNA from 1 species